CCCUUAGAUGUUCUGGGCGGCCCGCGCACUACACUGGCACUCUCAAUCAGAGCCUGGAUCUAACACUUUGGGGUAUUCUAUGAAGUGGUGUCGUGACUGGGAUUAACCCUUGCAAUUAUUGGUUACGAACGAGGAAUUCCUUGUAAUCGCGGUUUAUCAGCCCGCGUUGAUUACGUCCCUGCCCUUUGUACACACCGCCCGUCGCUACUACCGAUUGAACGGUUUAGUGAGGGCCUCGGAUUGGUCUCGGCCCGCUCUUUACCGGGCGGCGCCGUUGGUCGAGAAGACGCUCGAACUUGAUCGUUUAGAGGAAGUAAAAGUCGUAACA
rnacentral:rRNA from 1 species